rfam:Tetraodon nigroviridis chromosome 7 SCAF14536, whole genome shotgun sequence.
CCAAAGGCUCUUUUAAGAGCCACCACAGCUUCCACUAAAGACCACAU